UGUCCGAUGGUGUAAUGGUAGCACUACAGAUUCUGGCUCUGUUAGUCUGGGUUCGAAUCCUAGUCGGACAA
rnacentral:tRNA from 1 species